AUUGAACGCUGGCGGCAGGCCUAACACAUGCAAGUCGAGCGGAUGACGGGAGCUUGCUCCUUGAUUCAGCGGCGGACGGGUGAGUAAUGCCUAGGAAUCUGCCUGGUAGUGGGGGACAACGUUUCGAAAGGAACGCUAAUACCGCAUACGUCCUAGGGGAGAAAGCAGGGGACCUUCGGGCCUUGCGCUAUCAGAUGAGCCUAGGUCGGAUUAGCUAGCUGGUGGGGUAAUGGCUCACCAAGGCGACGAUCCGUAACUGGUCUGAGAGGAUGAUCAGUCACACUGGAACUGAGACACGGUCCAGACUCCUACGGGAGGCAGCAGUGGGGAAUGUUGGACAAUGGGCGAAAGCCUGAUCCAGCCGUGCCGCGUGUGUGAAGAAGGUCUUCGGAUUGUAAAGCACUUUAAGUUGGGAGGGAGGGCAGUAAGUUAAUACCUUGCUGUUUUGACGUUACCGACAGAAUAAGCACCGGCUAACUCUGUGCCAGCCGCCGCAGUAAAAC
rnacentral:rRNA from 1 species